CUCAGGGUCCGAUUGGUUUCCCAGGAGACUCAGGACAGCCAGGGGAGGCAGGACCCAACGUGAGUGUUCCAUUCUUCUCCCCACUGUUCCCCGGUACUGAACAUACCAUCUCUAUUACAGGGGCAAGUUAAGUCUGUCUCUCUCUCUCUCUCUCUCUCUCUCUCUCUCUCUCUCUCUCUCUCUCGGUCUGCUCUCUCUGUCUACAGGGGGAGGAUGGAGGUCCUGGAUCCAAGGGAGAUGGUGGAGAUCCAGGGAAAUCAGUGAGUGUUUCAUAUGUCUGGUAUAUCAUCUGUAUAAGUGUAUAUGUGCAGGUUCAGACAGCGUUCCAACCCACACAGAUCCAUUAAAUCGGUUCCAUCUGUGACCAACCACUCCCAGAGAGUUGGAGUUUGUUGGAGUCCCCUGCAUCUGUCUGUCUCGUUGUUCAGACGUUUCAGGUGUUUUCUAUGACUUGAGGGGUUUCAUCGUUGUUUUCUGUAGGGUCCACCAGGAGCAUCAGGGGAACCCGGGCCCUCAGGACCACCGGGACGCAGGGUGAGAGAGAGAGAGAGAGAGUGUCACUGUGUGUUAGUUCGUUUAUAUGUAAUUGUCAAUAUCUUAAAUAUUCCUCUAUUUCCCCGUUAGGGUCACCUGGGUAAAGAAGGGAAGCAGGGGAAAGCGGGGAUGAAAGGAGGGAAGGGCUCUCCAGGGUUGGAGGGUCUCCUGGGGAAGACAGGACCGGUGGGAGCCCAGGGACAUUCUGGUAAACCAGGUCCAAGUGGUCUCAGAGGGAUCCCUGGCCCAGCGGGGGAACAAGGUUUAAAUGGACCACCAGGCGUAACAGGACCACCAGGACCCAUGGUAAAACAGUCUACACCUUUAUCCAUCCAUCUCUCCAUCCUUCCAUCCCACUCCAUCCGUUGUCCCUUUCUCCAGAGUCUACAGCCUUAUCUCAGUCACUACUAUAGACCCAUACAUCCUAUAUCAGUCUACAGCCCUAUCUCAGUCACUACUAUAGACCCAUACAUCCUGUAUCAGUCUACAGCCCUAUCUCAGUCACUACUAUAGACCCAUACAUCCUAUAUCAGUCUACAGCCCUAUCUCAGUCACUACUAUAGACCCAUACAUCCUGUAUCAGUCUACAGCCCUAUCUCAGUCACUACUAUAGACCCAUACAUCCUGUAUCAGUCUACAGCCCUAUCUCAGUCACUACUAUAGACCCAUACAUCCUGUAUCAGUCUACAGCCCUAUCUCAGUCACUACUAUAGACCCAUACAUCCUGUAUCAGUCUACAGCCCUAUCUCAGUCACUACUAUAGACCCAUACAUCCUGUAUCAGUCUACAGCCCUAUCUCAGUCACUACUAUAGACCCAUACAUCCUGUAUCAGUCUACAGCCCUAUCUCAGUCACUACUAUAGACCCAUACAUCCUGUAUCAG
rnacentral:lncRNA from 13 species